CUCGGUUACAAUGAUGCUCGAAGCGAACGGUGAAAAUCGAACAGCAUUCGAAAUUGCAAAAUUCUAUCGAUGGCCUUACGCGAACGACGAAAGCGUGUAACACGGUAUAACAUUUAAUGUACAGCAUGUUGAGCGCGGACGUCCGAAACGUAAUUUUCAGUUGAGAGACUACGUUGAACCAUGUUUUCGGACACGUGUUUAAAGAAUAUAUAUAACGGGUACGAGAACACAACCGGUACACAAAGACAGAGCUAUGACAGGUUCGUAUUAUUAUGCCUCUAUUCGAUUAUUUUACCAUAAUAUGGCGUACGUGUCGUUGACAAAGUAUCAAUAACAUUUGAACUCCGCUCAGAAUCGUUUUUUUUUUUUCGUUAGCAACGGUUAACCGUUUCUAACAGAUACACGUUGAAUUAUCUACAACAGUGGCUGCAUCCGUCCCCGUUAUCCUAAGACGUUUUUAUUCGAGUGUAUAUCUUGAGGUUGUUUUAAAUUAUAACCACUCGUAUACGGUAUAUACGCAAUUAUUAAAUAUACCGAAUAUUAUAGCGCUUGGUCACGUUUUUUUUUUCGAAUUGUUGG